rnacentral:rRNA from 2 species
UGUGGUCAAGUUGUUAAGGGCACAUGGUGGAUGUCUUGGCAUCAGGAGCCGAUGAAGGACGUGGGAGGCUGCGAUAAGCCUCGGGGAGCUGUCAACCGAGCUGGGAUCCGAGGAUGUCCGAAUGGGGUAACCCGGCACCCGUUGUGGGGUGUCACCACCGUCUGAAUGUAUAGGGCGUGUGGAGGGAACGCGGGGAAGUGAAACAUCUCAGUACCCGUAGGAAGAGAAAACAACCGUGAUUCCGUGAGUAGUGGCGAGCGAAAGCGGAGGAGGCUAAACCGCGUGCAUGGGAUACCUGUCAGGGGUUGUGUGCGCGGGGUUGUGGGACCCACCUGUCGACAGCUGACACUGUCGGGGGCGUGUGUGGUGGUUAGUGGAACUGUUUGGGAUGGCAGGCCGGAGUGGGUGAGAGCCCCGUACGCGAAAACCAUUGUCACAUGUUGUGGUGGUGUUCCCGAGUAGCAGCGAGCUCGUGGAAUUUGCUGUGAAUCUGCCGGGACCACCCGGUAAGCCUAAAUACUUCCUGGUGACCGAUAGCGGACGAGUACCGUGAGGGAAAGAUGAAAAGUACCCCGGGAGGGGAGUGAAAGAGUACCUGAAACCGUGUGCCUACAAGCCGUCAGAGCGAUCGUUGGUGGUUGUGAUGGCGUGCCUUUUGAAGAAUGAGCCUGCGAGUUAGUGCUGCGUGGCGAGGUUAACCCGUGUGGGGUAGCCGUAGCGAAAGCGAGUCUGAAGAGGGCGGUGGAGUCGCGUGGUCUAGACCCGAAGCGGGGUGAUCUACCCAUGGCCAGGGUGAAGCGCCGGUAAGACGGUGUGGAGGCCCGAACCCACCAGGGUUGAAAACCUGGGGGAUGAGUUGUGGGUAGGGGUGAAAGGCCAAUCAAACUCCGUGAUAGCUGGUUCUCCCCGAAAUGCAUUUAGGUGCAGCGUCGCGUGUUUCACAUCUGGGGUAGAGCUACUGGAUGGCCUAGGGGGCCUACCAGCUUACCGAAGUCAGCCAAACUCCGAAUACGGGUGUGUGAAGCGUGGCAGUGAGACGGCGGGGGAUAAGCUUCGUCGUCGAGAGGGAAACAGCCCAGAACACCGGCUAAGGCCCCGAAGUGUGUGCUUAGUGGGAAAGGAUGUGGGAUUGCCGAGACAACCAGGAGGUUGGCUUAGAAGCAGCCAUCCUUGAAAGAGUGCGUAAUAGCUCACUGGUCAAGUGGUCCUGCGCCGAUAAUGUAGCGGGGCUGAAGCACACCGCCGAAGCCGUGUCACUCACACAUGACAUC